rnacentral:rRNA from 1 species
GAUGAACGCUAGCUACAGGCUUAACACAUGCAAGUCGAGGGGCCGCAUGAACUUAGCUUGCUCAGUUUGAUGGCGACCGGCGCACGGGUGAGUAACACGUAUCCAACCUGCCGAUCACUCGGGGAUAGCCUUUCGAAAGAAAGAUUAAUACCCGAUUGCAUAGUUCUUCCGCUUGGUAGAACUAUUCAAGAAUUUCGGUCAUCGAUGGGGAUGCGUUCCAUUAUGUUGUUGUCGGGGUAACGGCCCACCAAGCCUUCGAUGGAUAGUGGUUCUGAUAGGAAGGUCCCCCACAUUGGAACUGAGACACGGUCCAAACUCCUACGGGAGGCAGGAGUGAGGAAUAUUGGUCAAUGGAGGAGAGUCGGAACCAGCCAAGUAGCGUGAAGGAGGACUGCCCUAUGGGAUGUAAACUUCUUUUAUACGGGAAUAAAGUGAGGAACGUGUGACUUUUUGUAGGUACCGUAUGAAUAAGGAUCGGCUAACUCCGUG